UUGGAGGGCAAGUCUGGUGCCAGCAGCCGCGGUAAUUCCAGCUCCAAUGGCGUAUAUUAAAGUUGUUGCAGUUAAAAAGCUCGUAGUUGAAUUUCAGGCCUGGCUGGACGGUCCGCCCUUCGGGUGAGUACUGUCUGUGGUCGGGUCCUACCUUCUGGCGAAGCGUCAUGGCCUUAACCGGCCGUGGCGGGGAACCAGGACUUUUACUGUGAAAAAAUUAGAGUGUUCAAAGCAGGCAAUCGCUUGGAUACAUUAGCAUGGAAUAAUGGAAUAGGACAAUGGUUCUAUUUGUUGGUUUCUAGGACCGUUGUAAUGAUUAAUAGGGAUAGUUGGGGGCAUUAGUAUUCAAUUGUCAGAGGUGAAAUUCUUGGAUUUAUUGAAGACUAACUACUGCGAAAGCAUUUGCCAAGGAUGUUUUCAUUAAUCAAGAACGAAAGUUAGGGGAUCGAAGACGAUCAGAUACCGUCGUAGUCUUAACCAUAAACUAUGCCGACUAGGAAUCGGGCGAUGUUGAAAAAAUGACGCGCUCGGCACCCUAUGGGAAACCAAAG
rnacentral:rRNA from 1 species